rnacentral:rRNA from 1 species
CUACGGGUCGCUCCAGUGGGGAAUAUUGGACAAUGGACCAAAAGUCUGAUCCAGCAAUUCUGUGUGUUUGAUGAAGGCCUUCGGGUUGUAAAGAACUUUAAGUAGGGAAGAAGAAAGUGACGGUACCUACAGAAUAAGCGACGGCUAAAUACGUGCCAGCAGCCGCGGUAAUACGUAUGUCGCAAGCGUUAUCCGGAAUUAUUGGGCAUAAAGCGCGUCUAGGCGGUUUACUAAGUCUGAUGUGAAAAUGCGGGGCUCAACUCCGUAUUGCGUUGGAAACUGGUAGACUAGAGUAUUGGAGAGGUAGGCGGAACUACAAGUGUAGAGGUGAAAUUCGUAGAUAUUUGUAGGAAUGCCAAUGACGAAGGUAGCUUACUGGACAAAUACUGACGCUGAAGCGCGAAAGCUAGGGGAGCAAACAGGAUUAGAUACCCCCGUAGUC